UACGUAGGGUGCGAGCGUUAAUCGGAAUUACUGGGCGUAAAGCGUGCGCAGGCGGCUUUGCAAGACAGAUGUGAAAUCCCCGGGCUCAACCUGGGAACUGCAUUUGUGACUGCAAGGCUAGAGUACGGCAGAGGGGGAUGGAAUUCCGCGUGUAGCAGUGAAAUGCGUAGAUAUGCGGAGGAACACCAAUGGCGAAGGCAAUCCCCUGGGCCUGUACUGACGCUCAUGCACGAAAGCGUGGGGAGCGAACCGG
rnacentral:rRNA from 1 species